rnacentral:rRNA from 1 species
GACGAACGCUUGCGGCGUGCUUAACACAUGCAAGUCGAACGGAAAGGCCCUGCUUUUGUGGGGUGCUCGAGUGGCGAACGGGUGAGUAACACGUGAGUAACCUGCCCUUGACUUUGGGAUAACUUCAGGAAACUGGGGCUAAUACCGGAUAGGAGCUCCUGCUGCGUGGUGGGGGUUGGAAAGUUUCGGCGGUUGGGGAUGGACUCGCGGCUUAUCAGCUUGUUGGUGGGGUAGUGGCUUACCAAGGCUUUGACGGGUAGCCGGCCUGAGAGGGUGACCGGCCACAUUGGGACUGAGAUACGGCCCAGACUCCUACGGGAGGCAGCAGUGGGGAAUAUUGCACAAUGGGCGGAAGCCUGAUGCAGCAACGCCGCGUGCGGGAUGACGGCCUUCGGGUUGUAAACCGCUUUCGCCUGUGACGAAGCGUGAGUGACGGUAAUGGGUAAAGAAGCACCGGCUAACUACGUGCCAGCAGCCGCGGUGAUACGUAGGGUGCGAGCGUUGUCCGGAUUUAUUGGGCGUAAAGGGCUCGUAGGUGGUUGAUCGCGUCGGAAGUGUAAUCUUGGGGCUUAACCCUGAGCGUGCUUUCGAUACGGGUUGACUUGAGGAAGGUAGGGGAGAAUGGAAUUCCUGGUGGAGCGGUGGAAUGCGCAGAUAUCAGGAGGAACACCAGUGGCGAAGGCGGUUCUCUGGGCCUUUCCUGACGCUGAGGAGCGAAAGCGUGGGGAGCGAACAGGCUUAGAUACCCUGGUAGUCCACGCUGUAAACGGUGGGUACUAGGUGUGGGGUCCAUUCCACGGGUUCCGUGCCGUAGCUAACGCUUUAAGUACCCCGCCUGGGGAGUACGGCCGCAAGGCUAAAACUCAAAGGAAUUGACGGGGCCCCGCACAAGCGGCGGAGCAUGCGGAUUAAUUCGAUGCAACGCGUAGAACCUUACCUGGGUUUGACAUGGAUCGGGAGUGCUCAGAGAUGGGUGUGCCUCUUUUGGGGUCGGUUCACAGGUGGUGCAUGGCUGUCGUCAGCUCGUGUCGUGAGAUGUUGGGUUAAGUCCCGCAACGAGCGCAACCCUUGUUCACUGUUGCCAGCACGUUAUGGUGGGGACUCAGUGGAGACCGCCGGGGUCAACUCGGAGGAAGGUGGGGAUGACGUCAAGUCAUCAUGCCCCUUAUGUCCAGGGCUUCACGCAUGCUACAAUGGCUGGUACAGAGAGUGGCGAGCCUGUGAGGGUGAGCGAAUCUCGGAAAGCCGGUCUCAGUUCGGAUUGGGGUCUGCAACUCGACCUCAUGAAGUCGGAGUCGCUAGUAAUCGCAGAUCAGCAACGCUGCGGUGAAUACGUUCCCGGG